GAUGAACGCUAGCUACAGGCUUAACACAUGCAAGUCGAGGGGCAGCAUGAACUUAGCUUGCUAAGUUUGAUGGCGACCGGCGCACGGGUGAGUAACACGUAUCCAACCUGCCGAUGACUCGGGGAUAGCCUUUCGAAAGAAAGAUUAAUACCCGAUGGCAUAGUUCUUCCGCAUGGCAGAACUAUUAAAGAAUUUCGGUCAUCGAUGGGGAUGCGUUCCAUUAGGUUGUUGGCGGGGUAACGGCCCACCAAGCCUUCGAUGGAUAGGGGUUCUGAGAGGAAGGUCCCCCACAUUGGAACUGAGACACGGUCCAAACUCCUACGGGAGGCAGCAGUGAGGAAUAUUGGUCAAUGGACGAGAGUCUGAACCAGCCAAGUAGCGUGAAGGAUGACUGCCCUAUGGGUUGUAAACUUCUUUUAUACGGGAAUAAAGUGAGGCACGUGUGCCUUUUUGUAUGUACCGUAUGAAUAAGGAUCGGCUAACUCCGUGCCAGCAGCCGCGGUAAUACGGAGGAUCCGAGCGUUAUCCGGAUUUAUUGGGUUUAAAGGGAGCGUAGGCGGACGCUUAAGUCAGUUGUGAAAGUUUGCGGCUCAACCGUAAAAUUGCAGUUGAUACUGGGUGUCUUGAGUACAGUAGAGGCAGGCGGAAUUCGUGGUGUAGCGGUGAAAUGCUUAGAUAUCACGAAGAACUCCGAUUGCGAAGGCAGCUUGCUGGACUGUAACUGACGCUGAUGCUCGAAAGUGUGGGUAUCAAACAGGAUUAGAUACCCUGGUAGUCCACACAGUAAACGAUGAAUACUCGCUGUUUGCGAUAUACAGUAAGCGGCCAAGCGAAAGCGUUAAGUAUUCCACCUGGGGAGUACGCCGGCAACGGUGAAACUCAAAGGAAUUGACGGGGGCCCGCACAAGCGGAGGAACAUGUGGUUUAAUUUGAUGAUACGCGAGGAACCUUACCCGGGCUUGAAUUGCAACUGAAUGAUGUGGAGACAUGUCAGCCGCAAGGCAGUUGUGAAGGUGCUGCAUGGUUGUCGUCAGCUCGUGCCGUGAGGUGUCGGCUUAAGUGCCAUAACGAGCGCAACCCUUAUCGAUAGUUACCAUCAGGUUAUGCUGGGGACUCUGUCGAGACUGCCGUCGUAAGAUGUGAGGAAGGUGGGGAUGACGUCAAAUCAGCACGGCCCUUACGUCCGGGGCUACACACGUGUUACAAUGGGGGGUACAGAAGGCAGCUACACGGCGACGUGAUGCUAAUCCCUAAAGCCUCUCUCAGUUCGGAUUGGAGUCUGCAACCCGACUCCAUGAAGCUGGAUUCGCUAGUAAUCGCGCAUCAGCCACGGCGCGGUGAAUACGUUCCCGGGCCUUGUACACACCGCCCGUCAAGCCAUGAAAGCCGGGGGUACCUGAAGUGCGUAACCGCAAGGAGCGCCCUAGGGUAAAACUGG
rnacentral:rRNA from 1 species